AGACUGGCUGCCCCCGAGGGUUCGCGUGAGCGGAGCACGGGGCUCGGGGUGCGGGGGGCUGGUGUGAUGGACGCAUUUGUUCUUCGGUCCCUGACGAUUGUUUCUCAUUUGCCCUCCAAGCCCCAAAUCCUGUCAGUCCACGGCCUUGAUGGAGCGGCCCCCGUGGGACGACCCUGUUGAUUGUGCUAGCGGAUGUUGUCUCCAUUCUGGAUCUGGGAAAAACUGUGGAGUGAAAGCCGGACCUGUUAGGGUUGGGACCUGAAAGCGGACUUUUUCGCUCUCAGACGGGCCCCAGGUACAGUGAGAGGGGAGUUUGUGUGGUGGUUGUGAGCUUGAGCUUUGGAGAGAGAGAUCUGUGACCUUGGGCAGGUGACCUCUCCGAGCCUCGGUUUCCUCGCCGUAAAAUGAAGAUCCUAAUAGUCCCUACCAGAAGGUUGUGAAUGAGACAAUAGAUGGAAGCCCUUUGCGCGGCCCCUGCACCCGUAAACGCUCAAUCUUAGUUCUUACUCUUGUUGUUUUAAGUGUGCAGGCAAGAUAGACACAGAUACAUAAAAACUGUUUAAGACCACUUCUCUUUUUUUUCUUUCUUUCUUUUUUUUUUUUUUUUUUUUUUUUUGAGACGGAGUCUCGAUCUGUCGCCCAGGCUGGAGUGCAGUGGCGCGAACUAGGCUCACCGCAAGCUCCGCCUCCCGGCUUCACGCUAUUCUCCUGCCUCAGCCUCCCGAGUAGCUGGGACUACAGGCGCCCGCCACCACGCCCCGCUAAUUUUUUUGUAUUUUUAGUAGAGACGGGGUUUCACCGUGUUAGCCAGGAUGGUCUCGAUCUCCUGACCUCGUGAUCCGCCCGCCUCGGCCUCCCAAAGUACUGGCGUGAGCCACCGCGCCGGGCCCCCACUUCUCAACUGAUGACUGCGACACUCCCUUGAGGGUAAAACUAACUUCUGGCCACCUCCACAACUGUAAACCUGGUGUCACUCUUGGUGACUCCACCUCAGCUAAGGCCCCCACUUCCUGAUCUGCCUCCAGCCCCCUUGGGCAGCACUCCCUGGUGGGGCAGUGUGGACGUUGGCUGGAAUCCGUCAGGUGGUGACCUACCUUCCCCUCCUCCACCAGACGGGAGCUCUUUCAGGCCAGUGGUUUGUUGUUCAUCAAGAUAUCCAAGUACCCGGCAACAUUCCUGGCAUAUAAUAGGAAGGCAGAUCUGGUGAAUGAAUGAAUGAAUGGCGGUAUCUGGAGCAGAGACAAUGUAUGUAUAUAUUGCUAUUUAUAUAAUGUCUGCCCCCCCAGUCAUUUUGCCCUUCAGCCCCAAAAUGGCAUAGCAAAACCCCCCUUCCAGUAAGACGCUUAAGAUGAUUCAAUUCCUUGAGAUCCUUCUAUUUUUUUAAGUGUUAUUGCAAUAUAUUGAUAUACAAUAAACUGUACAUAUUUAAAGUGUGCAUUUGGUUUUUUUGCUAGUACUUGUUUGCUUUUUUUUAAAAUUAUACUUUAAGUUCUGGGAUACACAUGCAGAACGUGCAGGUUUGUUACAUAGGUAUACACGUGCCAUGGUGGUUUGCUGCAAGUGUGCACUUUUAUAUGUUUUGACAAAUGUAUAGACCUGUGAAAACAAUACUAUAAUUAUUUGUAAUUAUUAUCAUUUAUGGAGAAAAUGAAAUGCUUAAAAAAUAAAAUUAAAUUAAAAGUACUAUAAUUCUACUAUCCAGACACAACCAUUGAUAAGAACUUAUAUUUCAAAACAGGAUUUUUUUGGUUGUGCAUUAACUUUUUUCAACAUGGUUGAGGUUGUAUUACAUAAAAAGGUUUGCAUCCUGCACUUCGCAUAUUUCAAUACAAUUAAUAAUUGUUCUCUUCCAUUAUGAGAUAUUUAGAUUAUAAUUCCUCUGUUUUUAAUAAAAUACGGAUAAAUAUCUUUGUACACAAAUCUUUUUCCACAUAUUUGAUUAUUUCCUUAGGAUAAAUUGCCAAAAGUAGAUUUCGGUCAAUGGGUAUAUGUCUGUUUCCUUAUUUUGUUCUUUUCAAAAUAGAAAAGACUUUACUAUUUUGUCAAUUAAAAGAUAGUGUAUUACUGGCUGGGUGGGGUGGCUCACACCUAUAAUCCCAGGCUGAGGUGGGAGGAUUUCUUGAGCCCAGGAAUUUGAGACCAGACUGGGCAACAUGGCGAGAUCACAUCUACCAAAAAUUAAAAACAGAAAAAUUAGCUGGGCAUGGUGGCACUCACCUGUGGUCUCAGCUACUGGGGAGGCUGAGGCAGGAGGAUCACUUGGGCCCAAGAGGAUGAGGCUGCAGUGAGCCAUGUUUGUGCCACUGCACGUCAGCCUGGGCAACAGAGCUAGAACUUGUCUCGAAGAAAAAAUAAAAAUGAAAGAUAGUAUAUUUUUGUUGUAAAUAAUUCAAAUAAUACAGAAAUUAUAAACUAGGAAGCUGUCUAUAGUUCUGUCCUCCUUCCUUCCCCCCUACUCAUAGUUACCCUCGACCUAACCACUGUUAAAAGUUAAGCCUGUGAUGAUGGAUAUGUUUAUGUAAUAGGCAGUGGUGAUGUACAGUUAUCACCCAGCUCAUCUAGUUAUAUACAUUAAGUAUGAGCAGCUUAUUGUAUGUCAAUCAUAAUUCAAUAAGUGGUUUUUAAAAAGUCACUAGCAAAGCAAAGAUAAAGUUCUGACACCAUUAAGAAAUAGAAAUAGGCUGGGCACGGGGGCUCACACCUGUAAUCCCAGCAAUUUGAGAGGCUGAGGUGGGUGGAUCACCUCAGGUCAGGAGUUUGAGAUGAGCAUGGCCAACAUGGCAAUACCCCGUCUCUAACAAAAAUACAAAAAUUAGCCGGGUGUGGUGUCAUGCAUCUGUAAUCCC
rnacentral:lncRNA from 1 species